rnacentral:miRNA from 1 species
GAGUCCAAGCUGGAGAGCUAGAGCACAUGCAAAAUUCUCAGAACAUUGAAGCUGAUAUAUCUAGCAUGUGCCCUGCUUCUCCAGCAUGGAUCA